UACAGAGGUCUCAAGCGUUGUUCGGAUUCAUUGGGCGUAAAGGGUGCGUAGGUGGCGCGCUAAGUCAGGUGUGAAAUUUCGGAGCUUAACUCCGAAACUGCAUUUGAUACUGGUGUGCUUGAGGACUGGAGAGGAGACUGGAAUUCAUGGUGUAGCAGUGAAAUGCGUAGAGAUCAUGAGGAAGACCAGUGGCGAAGGCGGGUCUCUGGACAGUUCCUGACACUGAGGCACGAAGGCCAGGGGAGCAAACGGG
rnacentral:rRNA from 1 species